rnacentral:lncRNA from 10 species
CUCAGAUAAAGUGUAUAUAAUGCAAACUUCUGUUAGCUCUGAGUCAUGGCCUUUAGUACCUGUAAAGUGUUUUGAAUCCAGUUAAUAAAAUAUCUUUCUUUUCCUGUAUAUAAUUUGUAGGUCACUAGCAUUUUUGGCUUUAUUGGGAAGAAUAUUAGUUAUUCAGAACCAAUAGAAUGUGUACACACAGAGAAAGAGAUUUAUUAUAGGAAUUGGCUCCUGUGAUUAUGAAGGCUGGCAAGUACAAAAUCUUUAGGGAAGGCUGGUGGGCUGGAGACCCAGGAGAGCUGAUGCUCUGAAGUUCCAGUCUGAAGGCCAGCAGUUUGGAGAGCCAGCAUCCCAAUUUGCAUGUGAAGGCAGUCUGUGGUAGAACCAGGAAGAGUCAAAAGUCUCAGUGAAGUCCAAAGGCAGGCUGAUGGAGAAAUUCUGUCUUGCAUUAGGGAGGGCAGUCUUUUUGCUCUCUGCAGGCCUUCAAAUGAUUAAAUGAGGCCCACCCACAUUACGGAGGGCAAUCUGCUUUACACAAAGUCCACCAAUUUAAAUGUUACUCUCAUCCAAAAUACCCUCACAGAAACACCCAGAAUAAUGUUUGACUAAUUAUCUGGGCAUCCUAUGGUCCAGCCAAGUUGACAGAUGAAAUUAACCAUCACAAGUCCACUCCUUGCCAAGAUGGCACCCAUAUGCAUCUCCUUGAACCACACUUAAUCAUCAUAUAAAGACAAUAACAAAGUCAUAUAUAUUAGGCUGUUCUUGUGUUGCUGUAAAGAAAUACCGGUAACUGAAUAAAAGAAAAGAGGUUUAACUGGCUCACAGUUCUGCAGGCUGUACAAGCAUGGCACUAACAUCACUUGGCUUCUGGUGAGGCCUCAGGCAGGCAGCUUUUAAUCAUGAUGGAAGGCAAAGUAGGAGCAGGCAUUUCACAGGGCAAAAGCAGGAGCGAGAGAGAGAGGUGGGGUAGGAGAGGUGCCACAUACUUUUAAAUGACCAGAUCUCAAGAGAACUCACUCAUUAUCGUGAAAACAGUACCAAGCCAUGAGGGAUCUGCUUCCAUGACCCAAACACCUCCCAUCAGGCCCCACCUCCAGCACUGAGGAUUACAAUUCAACAUGAGAUUUAGGUGGAGACAGACAUCCAAACUAUAUCAUCAUACUUCCACCUAAAAUGAUACAACUACCCUAUGUACAACCAAAAAUACAACCUUUCCUCAGAAAAGGAUGCAAAGUCCUUGGAUGAUGUUUUCUCUUCUCCACAUCCCAUAACCUAAAUGCUAUAAAGUUAACACUACUUAAAUACUAUGACAUAAAGUCAAUACAUCUUAUAUUACAUGAUAGAGAGAUAACAGGGGAAAGAAAACACAGAUGUUUGCUACACAUACACAUAUUCAAAACAAUAUGAGGAAAUAGACAUGACAGUUACAGUCCUCAUUUCUGUAACUGGUCAUGUGGUCAUAGCUAGUAUUCAUAACUACCUUAUUCCACUAACCCAUUCUAUAUUCCCAUUGCUUUCAGCAAGCAUCUCAGCUGAUUAUAGUUCUUAACCUGCUUGGGUGGCCCAAAUCUUUAUUCCUGAAGUCUGGGAUAUUCGUAGUUCUGCUAGAUUGGGUUGUUUUGUGUUUCCAUUGACCGUAAUCACAGAGCAUGGUAAUACUAAGAGCCAGCCCUAAGGGGUCUUCCAGACAUACGCUUCCUUACUUCCAUUAGUAGUCCAGUUGCCCCUUGGUAAUCAGGAUCAAUCACUCCAGCCAACAUCACAACGCCCUUUUUUGUCUGUUGACUCAAAGGCAUAAGGAACCUCAAAGGGCCAGGUGGCAGUUUUGAUUUCCAGUUCAAUGGAAUAAUUGUUCCUCCUGGUGGAAGCUGUCCUCCUUUUAAAAAUAAGACCUCCAGGCCAGCAGAGUAUAAGGUCAUAGAAAGCAAAAAUUUUGCUGAUGGGUCACUAGGGGUAAAAGCAAGCAGUGCUACUUCCAUUUCCUCCCAUUGAUUCCUGGACCUGUGUAUCCUGGCUAUGGGAGAAACAGGACCAUAUAUUGACACUGAUUCAGAGCAUACCCAGCCUCCCAGAGAACCCUGCUCCAGUCCUGCAAAGUAUUGCCACCUAGCUGGCACUGUAACUGACCUUCAAAAGGCCAUUCCACCACUCUAUCAAGCCAGAUGCUUCAGGAUGGUGUGAAACAUGGUAAGACCAGUGAAUCUCAUGAGCCUUGUUUGAUCAGAAGUAAUGCUUUAUGGAAUACUAUGAUGGCAGAUAAGGCAUUUCAUAAGUCCACAGAUGGUAGUUUUGGCAGAAGCAUUGUGUGCGGGGAAGGCAAAUCCACAUCCAAAGUGUUUAUUCCAGAAAGAACAAAAUGCUGCCCCUUCUAUGAUAGAAGUGGUCCAAUGUAAUGAACUUGCCACUAGGUAUGAUUACAUAAAAGCUGGAAUCUUACGUGAUAAUUUAGGGUAUGUCGACUGGUAAUAAAAUGACACAAGAACAAACCAUAUUUUGAGGGAAUUGACUUUUCUGUGUGCUAACAUAGGAGAUUCCAUAGCUGGAUCUCACUGGACUCUAAAGCUGUACAUCAUUUGGAGAAACUGCUGGGUCUACUACUCAACUGUUUGGUGCUGAGCUUAAGGUCUUAAGACAGGUGUUACUUGAGCAUUAGCCCAAGCAGAUCUGUAGGUCAUUUGACAGCGUGUAGACACAUGGGCAUUUCCAAGCACUAGAGCAGGUGUAAAGUAAUAAGCAGAAAAGUCUGGGCCACAGAGUGAGAAAUGUCCUAAAAAGUGGACAGUUUUAAUGUGGUUCAAUCUUUUUUUACUAAAAAUAUUUAAUACAACAGCUACUUUUUUUCCCUUCAAUUUUCAAAGUCCUUUGAACCUUUUGUCUAAAUAACCUUGGUUUUAUUACAGACAGGAAUAUCUUUAUGGCAUAAUAACCUCUACCAGUACAUAUGGUGGUGUUGGAGUACAUGUAUCAGAGGAUGCUGAGGAACAAAUUCUUUUUUUUUUUUUUUUUUUUAGACAGGGUCUCGCUCUGUCACCCAGUCUGGAGUGCAGUGGCGUGAUCUCACUGCAACCUCUGCCUCCUGGCUCAAGCCAUCCUCCCACCUCAGCCUCCCAAAUAGCUGGGAUCACAGGUGUGUGCCACCAGGCCCAGCUAAUUUUUGUUAUUUUUUUGUAGAGACAGGGUUUCACCAUGUUGCCCAGCCAGGUCUCAAACUCCUGGGCUCAAGCAAUCUGCCCACCUCAGCCUCCCAAAGUGCUGGGAUUACAGGCAUGAGCCACUGCACCUGGCCAAAUUAUUCUUUUAGUCAGUUUUUUAAUCAAGAAGAUUUCUAGUUUUCAGAGGAAAUCCUGAAUGUUAUUAGCCAUCCAUACACCUUUCCCAUAUAUGUACGCCAUGAAAGUCAAGUGUUCAGUUUUAUGGGAAUGUAAAUCUGGUGCCUUUCACUACAUUGAAUUCAUAGUUGGAGUUUCGUAUUUCAAAUAAGUAAUUAAAACCCGUUGAAAUUAAAUAUCAACUUUCAAUUGCCAUAAUUCAAAAUAAAUUAUCUCAUAUAUUUGAAAAACAGACAAGAAAAAGAUGGAAAGAAUAGAGUUUGCAAAAGGGAUAAUUCUGAAAGUAAUAAAUUAAAAUGACUUUCAAAAUAGAUGGGAAAUUAACAGAAAAUAAAACUGCCUUUAAAAACAUUGCCUACUUUAUAAAAUUUGGAUUUUAAUAGCCUUGCCUUAUACUGGAGACAGGCCAAGCUGUGGAUAAUCACCAGUAUUUGUCAAACAAUUAUUUAUUGAGUACCUACUAUGUGCCAGACACUAUUCUAAGUCCUGGCAAUAUAGCAGUGCCAAGACAAAAGUCCUUGUGCUUGAGGAGCUUAAAAUUAUAGAGGAGUGGACACAAACGAAAACAUGUCAAAUAGUUAUAAGUGCUAUAAAUAAAAAUAUAGCAAGUUACAAGGGCUAGUGAUUGAUGAGGAGAGGGGAAUAUGCUGUUUUAUUUUGGGUGGUCAAUAAAGGCCUCUGUGCAUAGGCAAUAUUUGAGCAGACACCUGAAAAAAGUGAGACCUGGAGUGGUGAAGAUAUAUGGGGAAGAGCAC